rnacentral:rRNA from 1 species
GUGAAGCGGGAAGAGCAAAAUUUAAAUCUCCUGGGGCAUUCGGCACUCAGGCGAAUUGUAGUUUAUGGAAGCAUUUUCGGCAUGCAGCCUUGGUUUAAGUCCCUUGGAAUAGGGCGCCAGAGAGGGUGAGAGCCCCGUAAAGCCUUGGAAUUUCACUGUGGCUAUGUGAUAUGUUUUCUAAGAGUCGGGUUGUUUGAGAAUGCAGCCCUAAGUGGGAGGUAAAUUCCUUCUAAAGCUAAAUAUAGGCAAGAGACCGAUAGCAGACAAGUCCGUAAGGGAAAGAUGAAAAGAACUUUGAAAAGAGAGUUAAACAGUAUGUGAAAUUGUCAAAAGGGAAAGGCUNGGAAUCAGUAAGGCCGUCUUGAGAUUCAGCGGGCGCUCUUUUCGAGAGUGUCGCGUGUAGUCUUGGGGCAUUAUGGCAGGCUAGCGACAGUUUCCUCGCGUCGAAAGGCUAAGUGGAAGGUAGCAUUCCUCUUCGAGGGGUGUGUUAUAGCUGGCUAUGGCUCUAUUAGCGUGUGGGGAGGCUGAGGACUGCAGGGCGCUUUCAUUUUUUGAAAGAUUUGGGACCUGGGAGGCGGCGUAAGGUUUUUGGUAGACUUUUUUAAAGGCUGCUAGAAGCACGAAACUCCUCUGUCUAGAUCUCCUCUCCGCAAGAAGAAAUUGCUACCCUAAGGUUGCUGGCGAAAUGGUUUCAUACCACCCGUCUUGAAACACGGCCAAGGUGUCUAACAUGCAUGCGAGUGAAGGGUAAUGAAACCCACGCGCGAAUAAAGAAUUCAGUUGGAUCCGCUGUCCUUAUUCUUCAGUGGUGACCGACGGCCAGGUCAGAUAUUCUUAAUAAUUGAAAGAUCUGAGCAAGAGCAUGUACGUUAGGACCCGAAGAUGGUGAACUAUGCCUGAAUAGGGCGAAGCCAGAGAAA